CCUACGGGGGACAGCAGUGGGGGAUAUUGCACAAUGGGGGGAACCCUGAUGCAGCGACGCCGCGUGGGUGAAGGAGCGUUUCGGCGCGUAAAGCCCUAUCGGCAGGGGAGAAGAUGACGGUACCUGACCAAGAAGCCCCGGCUAACUACGUGCCAGCAGCCGCGGUAAUACGUAGGGGGCAAGCGUUAUCCGGAUUUACUGGGUGGAAAGGGGGCGCAGACGGCAAUGCAAGCCAGGCGUGAAAGCCCGGGGCCCCACCCCGGGACUGCUCUUGGAACUGCAUGGCUGGAGUACAGGAGGGGCAGGCGGAAUUCCUAGUGUAGCGGUGAAAUGCGUAGAUAUUAGGAGGAACACCGGUGGCGAAGGCGGCCUGCUGGACUGUGACUGACGUUGAGGCCCGAAGGCGUGGGGAGCAAACAGGAUUAGAUACCCGAGUAGUC
rnacentral:rRNA from 1 species